rnacentral:tRNA from 1 species
AGGGUUAUCGCCAAGCGGUAAGGCACAGGGUUUUGAUCCCUGCAUUCGUAGGUUCGAAUCCUACUAGCCCUG